UAAAAUUAUUGUUGUACAUGUCUAUUACUAUUGUACACUUUCUGUCGAAAAAGUUGCCUUAUGUUUUCUUGUAAAUUUCGAAUCUCAUCAGUCUUGUUUGAUGAGAGAAUCCUCUCAUUGGGGAACAUUUUCUUAUUGCACAAGACGAAUGAGUUUUGCAACUUACAAAAUAAAAUUGGAUAACCUUUUCGUCGGUGAGUAUAAAUUUUUAUGCAACUUAAUCUUAAAAUCUUUAACAGAUUAACCAUGUAACCUCUUAAUACACACAGACUCUUCCUUCAUCUACGAGACUAUUUUUUAAUUAAUAAAAAUUAAAUUUAUUAAGAGUUUGUUUUUAACAUAAGUUUUGACAUCUCGUUGGAGUGCUUGUGCACAAUAAUAUUUAUGACUUUAUAAAAGUAUUAUUUAUGUCUCAUUGGUCUGAAUUAUGAAAAAUAACUACAAUUUUUGUAUUAUGUUGUAAUAUUGUAUUAAAUCAUCAGAGCCUUAUCAGUAGGUGCUUUCCAGCUAUGGUUGCUUUCCAACAAGAGACAAAGUCAUCUUAUCAAUACAAGUAUCAUCUUAUCUUUGUUACUCACUAAAUAUGGAACAAAGAUAGAAUGAUAUUUGUGUCAACUUGUGUCUUUUGUUGGAAAGCAACCUACAUACACUGUGUUACACAAAACCAGUUUAUUGGUCACACAUUAUCUAAAAUAUCUUGUUAAUAUAUUUACAGAAACGGAGAAUGAUCCUUUGGUAUUAACAUGUGAGGAGCAAUAUAGUGAUAUAAAUAAUGUACCCAUUGUAGUAGAAGGAUAUCCCCAAUCAACGGAAAUCUUGCAAAGUAUUAACAUAAAAGGUAAAAUAGAAGAUGCCAUGAAACGACGUGCAAAAAGCCCUCUUGAAAGUAAUGAUGAUCUCAUCGCACCGUUUUUACCAAUGAAAAUAGUAGAAGGCAUAAAAGAAUUUGACACAGUACUGAAAACGUCAGAUGAAGCAGUGACACAAUUUGUAAGUUUUGUAUUUCUUUACUAUCUUUACAAAUGCAUUUUAUUUUAAUAUGAAAACAUAUUAUGCUUCAUUAU